UAAAAUUCAAUUACAAUGAUUCAUUGCAGUUAAAUUUUACUACUGAUUGGUAUCAAAUUUAUAUGUUUAUAAGUAAUUCAACAAAUCCUUCUAUUAUACAGUUUGUAAAAGCAACACAUAUUUUGAAGAGAGUCAUAGAUAUUUUGUUUCUCUCAUUACUGUCAAACGUCAGUUGUCAGCCCUACCGAGUUUAGGCAUUUUGUUAUCGCGAGUGUUGUGUUGUUUAAAGUGAAAAUCGGAAAAAACAGUAGUUUGUACAUAUCGGUAUUAUUUUUUCAAACAAUUGGGACGUAGAUGAGGGAAAUAUGCCACGCAAGGAUAAGUACGAAAAUAAUAGUGGAAAUCGUCGGUCCCAUACCCUCAUGUCUGCCGAAGAGCAAGCCAGUGGAAAGAAGUCCUCAUGGAAUGAGUUGGAGAUAACAGGGACUAUUCGGAAUUUAAGUCCGAAUUUAUUCAAGAUGGCCCAUUUGACAUCCCUAAUUAUAAAAAACAAUCAAAUUAGCAGAUUGCCAUCAGACAUUUGUCGUUUACUACAUUUAAGACAAUUGGAUUUAAGUAAUAAUAAACUUAGGUCACUGCCUGCAGAGCUAGGGGAACUCAUAUAUCUGAGGGAACUACAUCUUGCAAACAACUGUUUGAGAAUAUUACCAUAUGAACUGGGCAGACUCUUCAACUUGAUGAUUCUCUCUCUAAAUGGAAAUCCUUUGAACAAGGACAUUUUAACCAUCUAUUCAGAACCCAAUGGGACUGUGAAGCUGCUGACAUAUAUGCUUGACAAUCUACAAGGUAG